rnacentral:rRNA from 1 species
GACGAACGCUGGCGGCGUGCUUAACACAUGCAAGUCGUACGGUAAGGCCCUUUCGGGGGUACACGAGUGGCGAACGGGGGAGUAACACGUGAGUAACCUGCCCACAACUUUGGGAUAACGCUAGGAAACUGGUGCUAAUACUGGAUAUGUGCUCCUGCUGCAUGGGGGGGGUUGGAAAGCUCCGGGGGUUGUGGAUGGACUCGCGGCCUAUCAGCUUGUUGGUGGGGUAGUGGCCUACCAAGGCGGCGACGGGUAGCCGGCCUGAGAGGGUGACCGGCCACAUUGGGACUGAGAUACGGCCCAGACUCCUACGGGAGGCAGCAGUGGGGAAUAUUGCACAAUGGGCGCAAGCCUGAUGCAGCAACGCCGCGUGCGGGAUGACGGCCUUCGGGUUGUAAACCGCUUUCAGCAGGGACGAAGCUUUUUGUGACGGUACCUGCAGAAGAAGCACCGGCUAACUACGUG